rnacentral:tRNA from 1 species
CUUGAAAAACCACCGUUGUUAUUCAUCUACAAAAACA